rnacentral:lncRNA from 1 species
GUAAAGGAACAGCGUUACCACUCGCUGUUGGGACAAUUCCUAUAUAUGUCGACCUUCACCCUCUACAACCAGGCAGACCUGCAAAUAAAAAAAAUGCUCAAUUUUUUUUCACAUCUGAGAGGGCACUCAGCUUAUUUUCCCCUCGAUAAUACCUCUGCAAACAAGCCACACCAGAGCAAGAGUAUCUUAUAUCAUCAAGGUUAAAAGCAAGAGUAUCCCAUAUCAUGCUUUUUCCCUAUCUUUUCCUUUAGCCUUGUUCUUACCUACAAGACAAGGAAAAAGAGAGCAAUCAGUCAGCACUUGGAAU